AACAAAGAGUGAGUACAGCUGAAGGAGCCGGGAAGCAGAAAGUAUUUGCGUCAGGUAUGAGGAAGAAAAUAGAUUUUGGAAGUUAUGAGAACUGUAGAGAGUGAGUUGAGCAUAGUUUGUGAUUUUUGAGGGCCUCUAAAAGUAUUAAAGCAGCAGCAGCCGCUGCACGCAGACAUGAGGGCUAGGCUAAAACAGUAAGGUCAAGUUGUUCGGACAGAAAGGCUACAGGGUGUGGUCCUGGCUCUUGUGUAAGAAUUCUGACCGCGCUAACCAUGCCUAGGAAGGAAAGGAGUUGUUGUUUUGUAGAAGAUGCUUGGGUUUGAGAGAUCAGUCGAACACGAUUGGCAGGGAGAGCACGUGUGCUUUUAUGAGAAUUAUGCCGAGAUAGGUAACAGAUGAGGAAGAAAUUUGGGCUUGACUGAAGUAAUGGGGGCUGUCUGUGAAGCUCUGCGGCAGUACAGCCUAGGUAAUUUGCUGAGCUUGAUGGGUGUCAGGGUCAGUCCAAGUGAAAGCAAAGAGAGGCUGGGAUGAAGGGUGCAAAGCAAUAGUAAAGAAAGCAUGUUUGAGAUCCAGAACAGAAUAAUGGGUAGUAGAGGCAGGUAUUGAGGAUUGGAGAGUAUAUGGGUUUGGCACCAUGGGGUGGAUAGGCAAAACAAUUUGGUUGAUAAGUUAAGGU
rnacentral:lncRNA from 1 species